AUACUUACCUGGCGUAGAGGUUACCGUGAUCAACAAGGCGGUUCCUCCGGAGUGAGGCCCUUCCAUUGCACUACGGUUGGGCUGACCUCUGCGAUUAUCCCUAAUGCGGAUAACUCGGGCGCGUAAUUUACUAGCGUCUGCGGAACCACCGUUCCUUGUGCCGCCGG